UUCGCCCUUAGAGUUUGAUCAUGGCUCAGGAUGAACGCUGGCGGCGUGCCUAAUACAUGCAAGUCGAGCGAACGGACGAGAAGCUUGCUUCUCUGAUGUUAGCGGCGGACGGGUGAGUAACACGUGGAUAACCUACCUAUAAGACUGGGAUAACUUCGGGAAACCGGAGCUAAUACCGGAUAAUAUUUUGAACCGCAUGGUUCAAAAGUGAAAGACGGUCUUGCUGUCACUUAUAGAUGGAUCCGCGCUGCAUUAGCUAGUUGGUAAGGUAACGGCUUACCAAGGCAACGAUGCAUAGCCGACCUGAGAGGGUGAUCGGCCACACUGGAACUGAGACACGGUCCAGACUCCUACGGGAGGCAGCAGUAGGGAAUCUUCCGCAAUGGGCGAAAGCCUGACGGAGCAACGCCGCGUGAGUGAUGAAGGUCUUCGGAUCGUAAAACUCUGUUAUUAGGGAAGAACAUAUGUGUAAGUAACUGUGCACAUCUUGACGGUACCUAAUCAGAAAGCCACGGCUAACUACGUGCCAGCAGCCGCGGUAAUACGUAGGUGGCAAGCGUUAUCCGGAAUUAUUGGGCGUAAAGCGCGCGUAGGCGGUUUUUUAAGUCUGAUGUGAAAGCCCACGGCUCAACCGUGGAGGGUCAUUGGAAACUGGAAAACUUGAGUGCAGAAGAGGAAAGUGGAAUUCCAUGUGUAGCGGUGAAAUGCGCAGAGAUAUGGAGGAACACCAGUGGCGAAGGCGACUUUCUGGUCUGUAACUGACGCUGAUGUGCGAAAGCGUGGGGAUCAAACAGGAUUAGAUACCCUGGUAGUCCACGCCGUAAACGAUGAGUGCUAAGUGUUAGGGGGUUUCCGCCCCUUAGUGCUGCAGCUAACGCAUUAAGCACUCCGCCUGGGGAGUACGACCGCAAGGUUGAAACUCAAAGGAAUUGACGGGGACCCGCACAAGCGGUGGAGCAUGUGGUUUAAUUCGAAGCAACGCGAAGAACCUUACCAAAUCUUGACAUCCUUUGACAACUCUAGAGAUAGAGCCUUCCUCUUCGGGGGACAAAGUGACAGGUGGUGCAUGGUUGUCGUCAGCUCGUGUCGUGAGAUGUUGGGUUAAGUCCCGCAACGAGCGCAACCCUUAAGCUUAGUUGCCAUCAUUAAGUUGGGCACUCUAAGUUGACUGCCGGUGACAAACCGGAGGAAGGUGGGGAUGAGGUCAAAUCAUCAUGCCCCUUAUGAUUUGGGCUACACACGUGCUACAAUGGACAAUACAAAGGGCAGCGAAACCGCGAGGUCAAGCAAAUCCCAUAAAGUUGUUCUCAGUUCGGAUUGUAGUCUGCAACUCGACUACAUGAAGCUGGAAUCGCUAGUAAUCGUAGAUCAGCAUGCUACGGUGAAUACGUUCCCGGGUCUUGUACACACCGCCCGUCACACCACGAGAGUUUGUAACACCCGAAGCCGGUGGAGUAACCUUUUAGGAGCUAGCCGUCGAAGGUGGGACAAAUGAUUGGGGUGAAGUCGUAACAAGGUAAC
rnacentral:rRNA from 1 species